rnacentral:lncRNA from 1 species
GCUGAUCCCCGCUGAGUAUGUUUGCUAUCAACGCAACCCGGUGUGUAGAGUACUGUAUUUGUUAGUAGCUGCAGUAUGAUUAAAAAAUGCAUUGUGCUUUAGACUAAUGGUGAAUAAGCAAAAAUGCUUGUCAAUUCGGAUGUAAUAUUGGUAUAUUUACCGUAAAUGGCGUAUUUGUGUUUUUUUUUUCUCCAACACAAUGUCUGGAGUCCCAGUGUUGGAUACGCUCUUCCUACUUAUGUCCUUGAGCGAGACACUGAGCCUUCACUUCCAGUGUGUUUUCCUGCUCCCUCAGAUUCCAGUCCACACAGAUUUAAUCUGAAUGCAGGACCUCUCCUCACACCACUGUGGGCAUUCCAAAACACACUCAUCACCACGGCAACGGGACAAAGCAGCGGUGAUUGGCCACAGUCGUUGUCAUUCCUGUCAGGACAGGUGUGAGGGCUCUCAGUUAAACUACCUCUUGAUUGGUUCAAACUGCCGGGAGGCCAACAAAUCCCUAAUCAGUCUGUUAGCAUAUGAAGAAGUCGAGCAUGGAGGGAGGAAGUAAAGGAGAAAGAUGGAGCGAAGACAGGAUGAUGGAGAGAAAAAUGUAAAUGAGAAAAAUAUGAAGGUAUUUGCAAUUAGAAUGACUGGGAGACAGUUCCCAUGCCAUAUCAACACCGGGAUGACUGCAUGCAUACAUAAAUGGAGCAGUCAUGCCAACCUAUGCACUUGUACUGUAUGUAUGCACACGUUCAACACAUGAAGUCUAGCUGGGGUUACAGAGACCUUGUUCAGUUGUAAACUAUGGAUUCUCAUCUCAACUUAAAAUAUGUUUUAUUCAAAAUUGUGUUGUCAGAUUUACAGAUUUUAUUAUUCUACUCUAUGUGCAAUAUGUCUGAAGAAACCUAUACAGUAACUGCCACUCAGGCCAAGCCGUUGCCUCAUCAAUACAAAUAUCAGCCCACUCUCUUGCAACAGCUGAUCCUGGCUCUGUGUGGGAGAACUGAUCUAAUCAGUGGUGCUAUGUAAAUAUCAGUGGAUGCCUAUUUUCUUCCAGCUCUUCUAUGUGUUCACAGCGUAUGUGAUAUUUUAAAACUGGUCACAGAUUUUCUAAAAUGUAGCUGCAAGGUGAUCACAAACAGCAAAUGUCAAAAUACAGUAUAUGAUAUAACACAAUUUGUAAUUUGUUUUACUUGUAUUUCAACACCUUGACUAUUUGUCUCCUGUUCAUCUACUGCUUUGGUAUUUACAGUAUAUGUACACAGGCGCAUAAUAGACAGGGAACUGGGACAAAUACUGUAGACACAUUAGUAUGUGGAAGUAAACAGGACUAAUGCACGCUCUCUGACAGAUACAUGUUGUAGCAUAUUAAUAUACAUGUGCAGAGCACAACGUUUGGUCUUUCAGGGGACAACGUGUAAAUGAAACAUAGUUCUAGUCAUCAGAUGGCUUCUCA